rnacentral:tRNA from 1 species
UCCAUUUAUGGAGUGUGAGCUCCUCUUAUCA